GCCCGGGUGGUGAAACUGGUAGACACACAUCCCUUAAGAGGAUGCGCUCCAAAGCGUGCCGGUUCGAAUCCGGCCCCGGGCA
rnacentral:tRNA from 1 species